rnacentral:rRNA from 1 species
CGUGGGCUGUGUAUGGCGCUUGCAUAUUUCGCAAAACU